UGGUAAUGAAGCGAAAGCUAAGUGACCGCAAGGAGCUAGCACAGGUGCUGCAUGGCUGUCGUCAGCUCGUGUCGUGAGAUGUUCGGUUAAGUCCGCUAACGAGCGCAACCCUCGCUGUGUGUUACAAGUGUCACACGGAACUGCCGGUCAUAAACCGGAGGAAGGUGGGGAUGACGUCAAGUCAGCAUGGCCUUUAUAUCCUGGGCUACACACACGCUACAAUGGGAAGGGACAAUAGGUUGCGAAGCCGCGAGGCGGAGCCAAUCCAGCAAAACUUCCCUCAGUUCAGAUUGCAGGCUGCAACCCGCCUGCAUGAAGUUGGAGUUGCUAGUAAACGCAGGUCAGCCAUACUGCGUUGAAUACGUUCCCGGGGCUU
rnacentral:rRNA from 1 species